rnacentral:tRNA from 1 species
UGGGCUCGUGGUCUAGUCGGUCAUGACAUCGCCUUUACACGGCGGGGAUCCUGAGUUCGAAUCUCAGCGGGCCCAUC